AAGUCGAGCGAACAGACGAGGAGCUUGCUCCUCUGACGUUAGCGGCGGACGGGUGAGUAACACGUGGAUAACCUACCUAUAAGACUGGGAUAACUUCGGGAAACCGGAGCUAAUACCGGAUAAUAUAUUGAACCGCAUGGUUCAAUAGUGAAAGACGGUUUUGCUGUCACUUAUAGAUGGAUCCGCGCCGCAUUAGCUAGUUGGUAAGGUAACGGCUUACCAAGGCAACGAUGCGUAGCCGACCUGAGAGGGUGAUCGGCCACACUGGAACUGAGACACGGUCCAGACUCCUACGGGAGGCAGCAGUAGGGAAUCUUCCGCAAUGGGCGAAAGCCUGACGGAGCAACGCCGCGUGAGUGAUGAAGGUCUUCGGAUCGUAAAACUCUGUUAUUAGGGAAGAACAAAUGUGUAAGUAACUAUGCACGUCUUGACGGUACCUAAUCAGAAAGCCACGGCUAACUACGUGCCAGCAGCCGCGGUAAUACGUAGGUGGCAAGCGUUAUCCGGAAUUAUUGGGCGUAAAGCGCGCGUAGGCGGUUUUUUAAGUCUGAUGUGAAAGCCCACGGCUCAACCGUGGAGGGUCAUUGGAAACUGGAAAACUUGAGUGCAGAAGAGGAAAGUGGAAUUCCAUGUGUAGCGGUGAAUGCGCAGAGAUAUGGAGGAACACCAGUGGCGAAGGCGACUUUCUGGUCUGUAACUGACGCUGAUGU
rnacentral:rRNA from 1 species